rnacentral:lncRNA from 13 species
CCACGGGGUGCUCCCUUGAUUUGAUUCUCUACCCCUUCUUCUAGGGAUGGGGCUUCCUGAGAGCCGAUCUGAAGUGAUUUUUACUUCUCUUCUGGAAUUUAGCAGAUCUACCAGGCUCCACACUGAUACUGGGCAGUGUCUGCAGAGUUCUGUGAUUUGAUCCAUCUUCAGGUUUCUCAGCCAUGGAUACCAGCUUCUGCUCUGGUAGAAGUAAGCAAAGGAGUGAAACAGAUUCCGUGAGGGUCCUUGGUUUAUUUUUGCUAAGUGUGCUGGUUUUGUGUCAGUUAGUCUCCAGCCGGGAUGUGGCACUUUCAAGAGUGCAUCAACUGCAGUAGUAUAGAUAGGAUACAAGCUUGCCCUAGGGCCAGGCAUUGGGUGAGGUCAUAGAGCUCUCAAGACAUUAUGUCCUUGGUCUUCAACUACCAGGGUGGAUAGAGAAGAACUGUCAGGUAGGCACAGGGUUAAGGGUGUCUGAGAUCAGACUCUUUUUGGGUGGGGCUUGCUGCAGCAGCUGUGGUGUAUGGGGGUGUGGUUCUCAGGCCAAUGCAGUUCUGUUUCCAGAGGUAUUAUGGCUGCCUCUGCUGCAUCACAGAGGUCACCAAGGAAGUGGGAGAAAGCCAUCAGCCACAUGCUUCACCCAACUCUCACACAGCCUGCAGCCCGAAAGACUGGUCUUACUCCACCAUGCUCCCCCAAUGACACCAAGUUUAUUUCCAGGCAGCAGAUGAGCAAGGCUGAGAACGUGCCCCAGAGUACAAGUCUUACAACUAAGAAGAUACAUCGACUCACAGUUCCUUGGCUGUCCCAUGGAGCCAGCAGCAGCAAUCCCCCUCCUUCAAAGGAUAUAUGGAGUAUCUCAGCUUUCCUGGUUAAACGAGUCAUCAGAGGUCAAGCCACUUUCAAAGAAAUUAUGACUUUAAUUAUGGAGAACAGAUGUCCUCAGGACCACACUUUCUUUGGAGGCUCUAGGAGAGAAUCCAUACUUUACUUCUUCCAGCUUCUGUCACUACAGGUAUUUCUUGACUUGUGCCACAUCAUUUCAGUCUUAGCCUCUGUGGUCACACUGCCUCCUCCUCUUCUGUCUGUCUUCUCCUCUAUGAGUCUUAAGGAAUUCUCUUAAAGAAUACUUAUCAUGAACAAUGAGAACACAUGGGCAAAGGGAGGGGAGCACUACACACUGGGGUCUGUUAGGGGGAAAUAGGGGAGGGGCAGUGCAGGGUGGGGAGUUGGGGACAGAUAGCACAGGGAGAAAUGCCAGCUAUAGGUGAAGGGGAGGAAGGCAGCAAAUCACACUGGCACGUGUGUACCUAUGCAACAAUCUUGCAUGUUCUUCACAUGUACCCCAAAACCUAAAAUGCAAAAAAAAAAAAAAAAGAGAGGGAGAAUACUUGUCAUUGGAUUCAGGACCCACACAGAUAAUCUAAAAUAAUCUCCUCAUUUCAAACUCCUCUAUUUAAUUACCUUUUGCUUGUUCGUUUGUUUGUUUUUGAUAUAAGAUAACAUUCACAGGUUCUGUGGAUUAAGACAGAAACAUAUCUUUUGGAGGGCUACUAUUGAAUCUACUACAUAUGUUAAUUAAUAUUCAAUGAGCAUUGCCUUGUGCUUAGCACCAUUUGAAUCUGCAUGAGAAGACAUAUAGAAUAAUGGUCAUAUGCACACAUUAUUGAUUUAUAUUAUAGCUCAAUAUCUUAAACUGAGUGAGAACAGGUAAAUGACUAACACCUUUCAAUUAUCUGUAAAACUGGUGUGUUAGUCUGUUCUCAUGCUACUAUAAGGACAUACCCCCAAGACUGGGUAUUUUAUAAAGGAAAGAGGUGCAAUUGACUUACAGUUUAGCAGGCUGGGAGGCCUCACAAACUUACAAUCAUGGCAAAAGGCGAAGCAAGCAUGUCUUUCUUCAUAGGGCAGCAGGAAGGGGAUGAAUGAGAGCCAAACAAAGGGGUAAGACCCUUAUAAGCCCAUCAGAUCUCCUGAGAACUCACUCACUGUCAGGAGACUAGCCUGGAGGAAACAACCCUCAUGAUUCAAUUACCUCCCACUAAGUCCCUCCCACAACACAUGGGGAUUAUGGGACCUACAAUUCAAGAUGAGAUUUGGGUGGGGACACAGCCAUACCAGAUUAGCUGGGAUGCCUGUUAUUAUUUACAUCAAACAUUAGUCAGUUAAAUAAUAAUAAUAAUAAUUUGCCAGCACAUAUUAAUCUCUAAAUGUAUUUUAGUUAUUAUUUAUUAACUUGUUUAACAAAAGGCAUAUCCACUGAUCUUAGGAAACUUUUACCUCAUCAAAUCUAUAUUAGAGAAAAUAAAAGGUAUAAUGCAGAAUAUUCCCA